GAAAAGAAACCAACAGGGAUUGCCCUAGUAACGGCGAGUGAAGCGGCAACAGCUCAAAUUUGAAAUCUGGCCUUACGGUCCGAGUUGUAAUUUGUAGAGGAUGCUUUUGGGCAGCCACCGGUCUAAGUUCCUUGGAACAGGACGUCAUAGAGGGUGAGAAUCCCGUAUGUGACUGGACAGGCACCCUUUGUAAAGCUCCUUCGACGAGUCGAGUUGUUUGGGAAUGCAGCUCUAAAUGGGAGGUAAAUUUCUUCUAAAGCUAAAUACCGGCCAGAGACCGAUAGCGCACAAGUAGAGUGAUCGAAAGAUGAAAAGCACUUUGGAAAGAGAGUUAAAAAGCACGUGAAAUUGUUGAAAGGGAAGCGCUUGCAAUUAGACUUGCCCGCAGUUGUUCAAUUG
rnacentral:rRNA from 15 species